rnacentral:rRNA from 1 species
UGGGGAAUAUUGCACAAUGGGCGAAAGCCUGAUGCAGCGACGCCGCGUGAGUGAAGAAGUAUUUCGGUAUGUAAAGCUCUAUCAGCAGGGAAGAAAAUGACGGUACCUGACUAAGAAGCCCCGGCUAACUACGUGCCAGCAGCCGCGGUAAUACGUAGGGGGCAAGGGUUAUCCGGAUUUACUGGGUGUAAAGGGAGCGUAGACGGCGAAGCAAGUCUGAAGUGAAAACCCAGGGCUCAACCCUGGGACUGCUUUGGAAACUGUUUUGCUAGAGUGUCGGAGAGGUAAGUGGAAUUCCUAGUGUAGCGGUGAAAUGCGUAGAUAUUAGGAGGAACACCAGUGGCGAAGGCGGCUUACUGGACGAUAACUGACGUUGAGGCUCGAAAGCGUGGGGAGCAAACAGG